AGGAGAGCGCGCCUGCGCGAGCUAGAGUGGCCAAAGGUAGUGGAGGGCUCACAGGCCAGCCUUCCAUUUCUCCUGGUUAGCACUAGGACAGACCCACUCUCAGCCUCCAGCCUCUUCUCAUUCCCCACCACAGUGCUCAGGAAUUGAAACCCCCAAAGCAAGAGGAACCACGUGACCAAGAAACGUGUUUCCUAAGGAAAAAACAGACCUCCAUGCUGCCUAAGUCAAAGAAGCCCUCACAGAAUCACAGGUCACAUUCUGCUCAUAGGAACUCUUGCUAUCUCUUCACUUGCACGUCUCCAUUAGCAGUGAUGCUUCUAUACUUUUUGAGAUGGAUUGCACAAGGAACUUUUCCUGGCCUUGUCCUGAAGUCAUCCAUUUCUCCAAGGAGUCCAGUUUCCAUGCUGUUGAGAUUGGUACUAAGUAAGACUGGAUUUCUCAAUAUCUACUUCAUUACUAUAAUCCUAUUACUUGGAAUAUGGAUUUUAAUCAGUGUUAAGAUAGAGAUGUUCUUGUAAAAACUAAAAUACUUAACAUAGUAAUUUAUUCAAAGUUGUGGAAAUACUUCUAUGCCUGCUGAAUUUGUAGGAAUAAGAAGCUGAAAGAAUGAGAGUUCUGGGUACCUGGCAAGAAAGAAGUAAGAGGUUCCUUGGAUGAAGAAAUAAAGCUAAUAGCAA
ensembl:processed_transcript